ensembl:lncRNA
GAAGUGAAACAAACAAUAUGUGCAUAUAUCUACUUACAGCUGAAAUAGACGCAUUGUUCUUAGGUUGACUGAAGAGUGUAUCUAUAAACCUUCUAUUCCUUCCAAUGAAGCAGUCCUUAAGGCUUCAUUAAUGACUUUUGCAAUGUAAAUGAAAAUUAAAAUAUAUAGGUAUUAAAUGUCGUAAUAGAUUUGCAAAUCUUUGAUCAGUGUAUGUCAACGGGGCAAUGUGCUGACAAAAAAACAUGGCAUCUCAGGAAAUAACUUUAACUUCUGAUAUUGGUCAGUCUUGCUUAUUUCACAUGUGUUCCUAUUAAAAAGAAGUAGAAGAAGAAUUUCCUGUAGAGACAACUAGAGAAUUGCUGUUUCCAGUAUGGUAUUUGUAUGCAAAUCAUCACAAUUGUUUAAAGCUAGGGGUGACACCUCAUGAUUUAGGCUGUUGGUGUGCAUAUGUGUGUGUUCAUGCCAGACCAGCUAACCUGCUGGUAUGCUCAGGACCCUGAUAAGACAGGAAAUACUUAGUUUCUGAAACAGGAGAAAACUUUCUAUUGCAUUUGCUUACUCUUAUCUUAAUCUUCUCUACGAUUGCAUGUACAUCGCAACAAUGACUAGCUAAUAUCCAAAAUUAUUGAAGGCAAAUAAAGUUACAGAUUUCAGCAUGUUUCAUAAUAUCAGUGUAAGAAAGAACAUAGAAAAAAAAAACAAAACAGGAAGAAUUCUCUCUGGAGAAGGAAGUAGGAGAAGAUCAGAGAACUCUGCUAUGGAACGUGAAAACAGAUGCUCAAAGUGAAGCAUGAUGCAGUGGCAUCCACAGAGCUGGUUGUGUGGGACCUGGGAGGCCAGAUGAAGGCACUCGGAGCUAAUGAGCAGCAAUGAGCUAGAUAAAUGGGUUAAUUACAUUUAUCUAGAGAGCCCUAGAUAAAUGUAGGAGGUAAAUAGUAUUUCCUUGCUUUGAAGGCAGAAAGACCCAGAGAAAUUUGGGCUGAGGUAGAUGAUACUAUUGAGCUCUCCAGGGGAAUUGAGAAGGACUUGCGAGCAAAGGGAAGCCAAAGGAUUGUCAAAAGAAGGUAAAGGACUUUCCAGAACUUUAUCUCUUUCUUUCAUACCCUGAAAAAAAAAUGAAGAAAAUUUGCUUUUGCAAAACAGCAGUUUGCUAGGCUACUAAGUGGUUAGCCUGAAAAUAAAUAAAUAAAUUUAGGAAGCUGAGGUGGGCCAGAGGAGCACAGCUCAAUGUUUUAUGCAAGAGCGGUGCAGAACGUGUCAGCCUGUUGUCAGCUAAUUGCUGCUUGUCUCCAGCUCAGGUCUGAAAGCAUUCUGUUUUCUCUCUGUCCAUGAGGAAGGAAACUUCUUGUGGUCCUGCUGAGGUGAGUAAAAGCCUUACUGUAGCCCUGGCUGGAAAAUGAAUAAAACAUGGGCGAGACCUGGAAGCUGUUAAUGAGAAAUAAAGUAAUAGCUUGAAAUCCGUGGUGAGUGUGUGAGGCUCUGAGGGUUGCUGUGCAGCAACAACUGAGGUAGAAAUUGUCCUCAUGACUACCAGGGUUUGCUGAUAUCUGCCCAACCUGGGCUUGUGCUGUGGAGAGCCUGAUGGCUCUUAUUCCUUGUUUUUGUUCAGGCUAUAUAUUUUCAGUUGGUUUUGAAAUAAGGGAGUUUCACCUUUUCUGAUUUGCUUGUAUGAGAAUGGAGAUUUUCCAUUAUCAUGUUUGCCUAAUUUUACAAAUACAUCUGAAGAAGAGAAAUUUCUCUAUGACCAUUGCCUUCCAUUAUGUGAAACUGCCUAACAGCUUGGAACUAUUAAUAGGAAACCAUACUUCUAGGCAUCUAUAGUCUGGGUAUAGUGAUAUUCAGAGUCUGCUUUCUUUCCUUUCUGAUUCAUGAUUCAGAGACUCAUUGAGAAGCACCUCAGGGCUCUCUUUAAAUGUGACCAAUAAAAAGAGUAAGUGAUAAUCAUCAGGCUUUGUUAUUUAUAGUAAAGGGGUUGAUGGUAAAGAAGCAGAUUCAUGUGAGGUACCCACUCUAAUAAAAAUGGAAAAUAGUCUACUGGGUCUGAGUGAGAAGGAAAGAUUUUGAAGUUUUCAGGUCAAUUUUUAUACUAGUGUUGAUAUGAAAAUACUUAGCUGCUGAUGGACCUCUUUGAAAUAAACCUUUGGUUCGUUGUUUUUUUACCUAGGGUGAAAUUUACAUGCUAUGAAGGAACACAGAAAUUUGCAUUAUUAAACUGCUUUUUUGGAUAGGGAAGUGAGCACUUGUCAAUAUUUUGGUGAAAACUAUCUUUAUGAGCCAAGUUGUGCUGGCUAAUAAGAAAUGGUCAGUCUUCAGGACUGUCAUUCUAUUUACAUUAAGUAUAAAAAAAAAAAGCUCAGGCAACCAAACAACAUGAUAACAACUAUUCUAUAAAUUGUUUGUACCUGCAGAGAGAGAUUGAUGAUAGCUCCAUCCCUUGGUGAGGUGGACAUUGCAACAUAAACCUUGUCACUGUAACUUCUGCCCAGCUAUGAGAUUAGCUUUUGCAAAGGAUGUGGUGUAGCAUUUGUUAGGGUGAUGGUUUCUUCUUUUGUUGGGUUUUUGAGUAAAUAUGAACACAUUCUAAAUCUCUCCUUUUAUCCCAGAAUGAUAAGAACUCAAACUUUGAUUCAGAUAGAUAUAAAAUAUAUUUAUCACACACACAUAUGUAAGCAAGCAAAUGCAGGAAGAUCUAUUCCAUCUAAAUUGAACAUUACUGCCAUAUGUUUCAAUUCAGCCCUAUUAUUCAAGGAAAAAAAAAAAGAACUUGUUAAUUUAGCUAUGGUAUGAAAAGCAGAUGAUAUCUCAUUGAUAUCAAUCACUGUUUGACUGUAAUCUGAAUAUUGAUAGGGUUUUCUUAUUGUUUCUUUUGUUGUGUUGUUUGGGUGGUUUUUUUCUGGAAAACUAGCUAAAUCUUUCUUUUAAUGUUUCAAUACAAAUAGAUUACAAGGAGCUUUGAAAGAUUUGGUCCAGCUGCCUGAUUUACAAAGUCUAAUCUUGGACUGAGAUGCAAAUUCAAGCCUUCAUACUUUGUCAAUAGUGCUGGUUAAAAAUUCCUUAACCUCUGUUUCAUCAAAGUUCAUUAAAUUGUGUGGAGGAACCUACCUUCCCUAAUCAAUCCACUUUUUCACUGGAUUCCCGUUUCAGAGCAAAAUAAGACUUACUUUUUAAAUGUCAAAAUAUUUUGUCCUUGAAUGUUAACAGGAAAUAUAAAGUUUUGUUUGAUUUAUUAUUUCUGAUUCAUUAAUGUAGUGAUUAGC